CACAUAAUACACACACACAAUGUGCAAACUCUUUUAAUUAUUAAAUCUGUAAUACUAAUGAAAUAUUAGUCACUUGAUUAUAAAACAUAACUGUAUGUAAAACUUUUUUUGUCACAAGGGCCAACAACACUUGGCCAUUACAGUAACUUCUUCGUGCCAUCACAGUCCAUUUUCUUUUCUUGCCAAGACGCAGAUAAAACUUUUCCCAGGCAUCACAGCUUUCUAAAAGUCCACCAAGCUGUAUAGUGAUGUUCAAGGCAUUUCUUUUACUCAAACACUUUGGAGAGGUGGGUUGUGUUCAGGCCAAUUUCAAAAAGAUCUUCCUAAUAAAAGUAUCUAUUUUUAAAAGACACGCUGAUGACAUAUAAUACUAAACCUCACAAAAUACUGUAAUGAAAACAUAACAAGCUACUGUAAACAGACAUUGCACAAUUGUAGGCAAGCAAUCGACCCGGGGACAAGGUGAAUGAAGUUUGUCUGAUGUGAAUCUGUCAUCGAUCAGAAGGGAUUAAUGAAAGGAACGGUGUCUUAUCAACUGCUGUGUGCAUCGCACAACCCUCGGGUUCCGCGAAAAACAGCGGCAGGAUCCGUCGCGCAUUUACAGGCAUGAAAUUACUAUCAAAUCCCCAAAGCGCUCGGCAAACGAAGGGUGCGCUCUGCGCGGGUGAGAGAUUGUGUUGGAUCUGAUGUGGACUAAAACAGAAACGAAAGGAAGAUGCAUGCAACAGAUAUCUGAUGAACCCCAAGCCAGAUACGCGUGCAUGCGUUUAUUGUCGCUAUUGAAAGAAACAAGCCGCUGUGGUUCAGAAGUCAAACGGAGGUCAUCCUUUAUAUCCCCCCGCAGCAAUCUCCGACCAGGGGCCAGUCAACAGUGAACCCUGCCUUCUCCACCACUGACAACUGCCUGAAAGUUACAAGACUAUCGGGAAUGGGAAAACGCACUGGGAUUACACAGUAGGCUAUUAACUUUUUUCUUGAUCUUGAUCUUGCCACUGCUUAAUGCUUUGACAACAUGUUUAAAGUGCUUAUCAAAUAUAACUCAAUGUUUAAAUAUUUAAAUGUUCGUUUAUUCACUUUGAAUUGACUUAAAUAAGCGCGCAAUUAAGACAUUUGGAUAGUUCAAAAUAAAAACAGAAAAUCAUUAUUAACUAAUCCAGGAAAAACGGUUAAAAUUGAUCUAGCACAAAUGUACGCAUCUAAGAAUUUACAUAGUCUAUAAUAUAACACUGAAAAACUAAACAUAACACUUAUGUAAAGUUAAAUUCAAUUAUACAGAUUACGUGAAAUAAUCACUGUGAAAAAUCUUUGUUGAAAAACAAUUAGCCUACAUUAAACAACGUAUUUAAACAUCCAUUUAAGUCUAUACGUUAUGUUACAGGUAAAGUUACAAUACUUUUUAUUUAAUGACUAUUUACUAGUUGUUUAUAACAUAAAACGUAACAAAGAAAGCGCUAUUUUGACAAUAAACAGUUUGUUUUUCUACUAAUAAUUUUUGUACAAUCUUGGAUAAAUUGAAACUGGUUACAACGACAUCAUAGACAAACAUGUACGUUGUGAUUUCACAUUUUGAUUUGAUUUGUUUUGCUUAAUUUCCUAAUUUCAUUGUUUUUUUUUCUUAUUGGCAACAAAGAUUAUUAAUCCCAAUACAGGUUUAUUGCAUUUGGAAAAAUAUAAACUAAUACACAAGGUCCAAAAGAAAAACAUAUUUUCAUAUGAAAGCCUUUCAGUGAUCUGUAUGCUUGAUCAUUUGCGCCUUCUACUGGAUACACACAGAAUCUACUUUCCUUCUUUAUUAAUAAGAGCCGCAAUGAUUUCUCUGAAAUAUACAAAGCAGACGAAUAACAGCUACAAUAUCUCUGUCCUAUAAAACAACUAACAGCACUAUUUAAGUAAAUGCCAGUGCAUAUUGUUUAUUUAUUUAUAAACAUUAGAGACUGCUUAAUUGUAUUUUGGUCGAAGUCAUCAUUGUCAAUCGAUCAACAUUUUGUCUAGGUUUGAUUUAGCUAAAAUAAUGAUAAAUGAAGAAUGAAAAUCCCGACUGUAAUUUUUCUGCUUUCUCUUAAAAUCAGAAUAUAAAUAUUUAAAUACAUUAUAGCAUUUUUUAAAAGCUUUUGUAAAAAAAUGUUUCACAGUUAUUAGAAACAUUUGUAUGUGUAUAUAUCACAAUGCAUUUUACAAAUAAACAUUUAGUCAAUAAUUUUUUUCUCUAGGCAGAUUUUGUUUGCUAAAGCAACUAUAAUUAUUUGUUGUAAAUAAGAUUUGUUAUUUAUGUUUUUUAAAUUUUACUUGAAAAGGUGCAUGUCACACUUUGCGGUACAAUUUCAACUGUUUUCCAGUGAAGCAUAACAAAACAGAUUGUUUUAAAGAUAUUAAUGUCUAGUAUUAAGUCUUGUUUAAUUUUUUUUUAACUAGAUCAAUGUAUAUCAAUGUAGAUCAACCUAUGUAGACCUACUGUUAAUGUUAAAAAGAUUUGAUUAAAAAGCACAAAUUCAGAACUAAAAACAGUGUUUUUUAUUAUUAACAUCAAGCUUUACAAUUUUCACAUAUGAUGAUUCCUGAAUCUGUCUGUUUUCCACGCUGAAGCAUUUGGGAUUGGAAAAUACUGUGUCUAAAUCUCUGUGAGCAAGGUGUACUCUCUCCCACCCUUCUAUCAGUUAUAAGUGCCAAAACAUUUGUCACUUGAGUUAUUAUUUCAGGUGUGCUAAUGGGCUCACAGCCACGAGAGAGGAGGAGAAAGUGCGAGGGAGAGGCAGAGAGAGAGACGAGUUUGAUUACUGUGAUUUCAUUUGACCGAAGCCUGGUCGGUUUUGCGGUGUACGGAGCACCGGCUGGCAGCCCAGAGGUGAAAAGAGCAGGCCGCUGCCCUGGAUGAGAGCUAGUGAGAAGGAGAGAAAGCGAAGGAGAGAGAGCGGUGAUGCCUGAGCCAAUCACAAGGUGCAGGGAUGAGUCUCACACCUCAGAAGGAGGCUGUGAAUUGAUCAGCACCUUUGAGAGACGGAGAGAAGAGGAAAAAUUGGGUGGGGGUGAGACGGCGGAGGUGGAGGCAGCAAUGGAGCGAAAGAGUGCUUUUUGCGGAGGACGUGUGAAGCCCCAUAUAUUCCUGCAAGGACACGGGGAAAGCCGGGUCUGGGCUCAGCGUGGCCAGCACACCCUAAUGAGCCCUGUCCGUACACAGUGAGAGAGCGUCUCAAUAUUACGCCGGACUAGUACACUUCAUGUACAUCAUCACGCCCUCCUCAUGCCAUUCAUAGAUGUGCUUUUGUGUACCGCGGUAAUGAGAUGCAUAGUCCCACUAAUCAUAUUUCAGGUACCACAUGGGUGAGCAUCUGUUUUGUCAGAUGACCUAAAAUAGAGUUUAUUAAAUAUACUUGUUUAUGUUUGUUUAUAUGAUCUAGAGUACAUUAAGUUAAACCAACAGAAGUAAUUUGUCAGAGACAUAUAGCUCAUUAAAGACCCCCAAGUGUC